AGUCUGAUGGAGCAACGCCGCGUGAGUGAAGAAGGGUUUCGGCUCGUAAAGCUCUGUUGGUAGUGAAGAAAGAUAGAGGUAGUAACUGGCCUUUAUUUGACGGUAAUUACUUAGAAAGUCACGGCUAACUACGUGCCAGCAGCCGCGGUAAUACGUAGGUGGCAAGCGUUGUCCGGACUUAUUGGGCGUAAAGCGAGUGCAGGCGGUUCAAUAAGUCUGAUGUGAAAGCCUUCGGCUCAACCGGAGAAUUGCAUCAGAAACUGUUGAACUUGAGUGCAGAAGAGGAGAGUGGAACUCCAUGUGUAGCGGUGGAAUGCGUAGAUAUAUGGAAGAACACCAGUGGCGAAGGCGGCUCUCUGGUCUGCAACUGACGCUGAGGCUCGAAAGCAUGGGUAGCGAACAGGAUUAGAUACCCUGGUAGUCCAUGCCGUAAACGAUGAGUGCUAAGUGUUGGGAGGUUUCCGCCUCUCAGUGCUGCAGCUAACGCAUUAAGCACUCCGCCUGGGGAGUACGACCGCAAAGUUGAAACUCAAAGGAAUUGACCGGGGCCCGCACAAGCGGUGGAGCAUGUGGGUUUAAUUCGAAGCAACGCGAAGAACC
rnacentral:rRNA from 1 species